rnacentral:rRNA from 1 species
GGGGAAUAUUGCACAAUGGGCGAAAGCCUGAUGCAGCGACGCCGCGUGAGGGAUGACGGCCUUCGGGUUGUAAACCUCUUUCAGCAGGGAAGAAGCGAAAGUGACGGUACCUGCAGAAGAAGCGCCGGCUAACUACGUGCCAGCAGCCGCGGUAAUACGUAGGGCGCAAGCGUUGUCCGGAAUUAUUGGGCGUAAAGAGCUCGUAGGCGGUUUGUCACGUCUGCUGUGAAAACCCGAGGCUCAACCUCGGGCUUGCAGUGGGUACGGGCAGACUAGAGUGCGGUAGGGGAGACUGGAAUUCCUGGUGUAGCGGUAAAAUGCACAGAUAUCAGGAGGAACACCGAUGGCGAAGGCAGGUCUCUGGGCCGCAACUGACGCUGAGGAGCGAAAGCGUGGGUAGCAAAC